rnacentral:tRNA from 1 species
GGGCACCGGCGACGCUGGCGGCCAGUGUCGCGACGUUGUUGCCGGCGUUGGUGAGGGUGACCGGGCCGGCGCCGAGCAGUUCGAGUUCGCUGGUGGUAAC